GACGAACGCUGGCGGCGUGCUUAACACAUGCAAGUCGAGCGGUAAGGCCCUUUCGGGGGUACACGAGCGGCGAACGGGUGAGUAACGCUUAGGAAUCUACCUAGUAGUGGGGGAUAACCCGGGGAAACUCGGGCUAAUACCGCGUACGCCCUACGGGGGAAAGCGGGGGACUUUCGGGCCUCGCGCUAUUAGAUGAGCCUAAGUCCGAUUAGCUAGUUGGUAGGGUAAUGGCCUACCAAGGCGACGAUCGGUAGCUGGUCUGAGAGGACGACCAGCCACACUGGGACUGAGACACGGCCCAGACUCCUACGGGAGGCAGCAGUGGGGAAUAUUGGACAAUGGGCGCAAGCCUGAUCCAGCGAUGCCGCGUGUGUGAAGAAGGCCUGCGGGUU
rnacentral:rRNA from 1 species